AGCCAGGAGCUGCAGGAGAACGGCAAGAACAGAGAACAGAGGCUGGGCCAGAACCCGAAUCCAAGGCAAGAGAUCCAGAAAAGAGCAGCUCAAGAGGCCAGAAACAGCAGAGAAGAUGGGGAAACUCAAACCUGCCUGAAACUGCAAGAGAAAAGCAGAAAAGACAGACCCCCCCCACUCCAAAAGACAAGAACCCGGACAGACACAGACACACCUGCUGCAUGUGGCUCCUGAGCCAGACAGAACCCGUGGAGGAAAAGAGAGCCCCAGGUCCCAAGGCAGGCAGCCCAUCCCCAACAGCAUGGCAGGGCCUCAUGCCAAGCCCUGCAGGAAGUCCAACAGCCCUCUAUGCCACUCCUCGGGUUUGUCCAGAUGGGAGCCACUGGAACAUAGCCCCGGAGCUGGGAGCCAGGCAUCGUGAGGAAGGGCAGGGAAUACAUGCCACUUAAUGAUGGACUGAUCACUACUGGGGAGCCCAACUCCAAGGCAUCCACCACAGUUGCCAAGAAGCUGCCAGGGACCAGUUCCCCAACAGGAGCAGGGGCUGCUGCUUCCUUGGAGCGCCCAAGACCUGUAAGGAUUUAGGUGAGGAGCAACAAGGGCCGUGAGUAGUUAAACAAGGGUUCCAGGAAGCCCUCCUAGGUCAGUUUCUCUGUGCCCAGGUUCCAAUAGUAUCCUGCAAAGAAUUGAGCUCUGGGGCUGGUGAGAGGGCUCAGAGGGCACUUGCCUAUGCCUAAGGACCUAGGUUUGAUUCCAUGGUACCCACAAAAAGCCAGAUACACAAGGUGGUGCAUGUGUCAAGUUCAUUUGCAGUGGCUGGAAGCCCUGGCAUGCCCAUUCAUUUCUUUUCUCUCUCUAUAUCACACAUGCACAAAUAAAUGAAUAAUUAUUAAAGCAAAAAAGAAUUGAGCUCUGAAGUCUUAAUAGGUCUAGAUCUAAGUCCCAACUCUCCAUUUACUGUUAUUUGAUAUUGUUAUUAAAAAUUCAAGUUUCCUUUCUUUCCCUCUUUCUUUCUUUCUAUUUUUAACAGCUAUGACCUUAGGUAAGUCCC